rnacentral:rRNA from 1 species
UACAUGGGUUGCAAACGUUGCUCGGAAUUAUUGGGCGUAAAGCGCACGUAGGCGGUUUGUUAAGUCGGAUGUGAAAUCCCUCGGCUCAACUGAGGAAGUGCAUCCGAAACUGGCAAGCUUGAGUACGAAAGAGGGUCGCGGAAUUCCCGGUGUAGAGGUGAAAUUCGUAGAUAUCGGGAGGAACACCGGUGGCGAAGGCGGCGACCUGGGUCGAUACUGACGCUGAGGUGCGAAAGCGUGGGGAGCAAACAGG